UUAGUUGGUUAGUUGGUGAAUUGAAUAUGUAUUAGUCACGAUGGUUUUCUUGUUCAUAGCGUCAGUGUGUUGUGUGACGAUUACUAGAUCUGUAGCCGUAGUUUUGUGCUAAUUUCAUAUGUGUGUACUGUGUAGUAUGGGAGAGAUAUUCCAGGUGUUUAAUAACUUGGGGGGCAUAGUCCUAGCGUGACGCUCCUCAUGUGUUCGGUGAUACACGUAAACCAGACAGCAUCGUUGAUUUCAUCAUCUCAAGUCAAAUUUAGUUUUGGUGUGCCAUGAAGUAAUCUCCUGAUCUAUAAAGGUUUCCUGUGUACUGAUCCUCCACAACCUUUAGGGAAGUAUGGGUCGAAAGUGACUAAAUUGGUUCUAUAUGUUAUAAGUGGUCUAUCGGUGAUGUGUAGGUUGGGUUUAAUGUCUUAAGCAACUCACCGAUAAGCUCUAUUACUAUUGAUUACAUUAAAUGUAUUGAUUUUAUGAAGCUGAAGUUCUGUCUUAGUCCUCAUUAUCUUCUAAUGUUUGGUUUAGUUCUGGAUUGCUUAUGACUUUAUUUUAGUCUAGCCGAGUAUGACUACUCUUUCGUUUAUUACACAAGUUCCUUAGUUAAUUGCUAGGCAAGUGUGAUGAUAUGUUGUAUGAAAUAUGCUUGGUGAACGCAUAUGCAUUGAUAUGAUUGUGUUAAUAAACCAUGAAGGGUAGAGUUUUGUUUAUGGAUAAAUUACUUAUACAAAGAACAUGUUAACACUUGCUGUUUGGACUGCAGGUAUCAUUUUAGUUACGUAGGUAAUUGAGUGAAGUAAACCAUGUUUUAUGUAAACGUGUUAUAUAGAAAAGUUAUAGAUAACUACUUUAUCUUGCUGGUGCUAAAAUUUCAUGACCAUAGGUCUAGUAGUUUAAAAGAUAUGAUUUUCUUAAGUCCAGUUUCAGAAUCUGUCUAAAUUCUGUACAUGUUUCAAAAAUUGGAUUGUUUGGCUAAGUUAAAUUGAGAAUCAGUCAUUAGUAAUUAUAGGAGAAUUGUAGUACUUUCCUUAACCUUUCCAACAAAUUUUGGAUCACCCUUUUUGGUGAUCUAUAAAUUAAGUUACAACUGUUUGAGUUAGGAUCUCUGAAUCUGUCCCAAUUUGGACAGCAGAGCCUUUCUCAUGUUUUCUGACUUUGAUAUAUAUUAAAUUAACCUAGGAUGUUCAUAAAUGAAUUGUAGAUAAUUCUAUUAUCUUUCUAAAAAGUCUAGGAUCACCUGAUUUGGAUGUCUGAAACUCCAGUUAUGAUUUUUUGAAGUAAGUAGUCGAAUUCUGUCCAAAUCUGGACAGAAUUUACGUUUAGCAUUGUUUGACCAUUCUAAGUGUCAAGUCUCACUAUGAUGAUAAUACAAAAGUUGUAGAGGACUUUAUAAGCUUUCCAAAAAGUCUUAGUUUACUAUUUUUGGAUGAAGAUUGUGUAAGUUAUGAAUAAAACAACUAGCUACUGUUCUGCUGUCCAAAAUCAGCAAUGAUUAAAAUGAUUACUUGGAGUUUCUUUUGUAAGGAUACCUAUAUUUGGUUAGUUCUUGAUUGGUUGAUUGGUAGUCUUGUGGUUUUAAGUGUUACGUAAGUUCCUUGUAAUUUUGUAAUAAAGUUUAGGUUAUAAAUACCUGUGUUUCAUAAAAGUUGAGUAUGAUUAACUCCAAGUGUGUGAUUGUUAUGGGGUCAAAGUUAGCUAGUGUUUGCUCAUAUAAAUAUGACUACUCUUUCGUUUUUUACACAAGUUCCUUAGUUAAUUGCUACACAAGUUCCUUAGUGAAUUUUCAAAGAAGUUCUGAACUGUUCAGAGUUCCUUGUUUGUUCACUAACCAUCCUCUUUGUCAAUCUUCUUUGAAAAUUUGCUUUCCUCAUAGGCUUCCAUUUGUUAGUAAAUCUGCACUUUUAGGAGACUCGGAGUUCGUCCUAGAUGCAAAAGUACCUUGCUGGUUAUGGAGAGGUCAGCUGAAGGUUGGAGCAGGAUCAGGUGGUGUUUUGGAGGUAGAUUUAAACAUUUUGGAGGUGGAUUGAAGCUUUGACUGGACUGAAGUUUAUUGCAUCUGGAGAACAUCAUUUGGCUCUACCUCUAUUUUAUUGGUACUCUUAAAUUUCUUGUUCCUUACACAUUUGGGAUGGUGAUUCUCUACUUGUACAGCAACUGGAUUGUAUGGUCGGAGGAGCCUGAGUUAGAUUCUGGUUCUGCAUGAGCAAUAAGUUAUAAACUGUUCAGGAUUCCCUUGGUUUGCUGUCAAUGUUGUUCGAAACUUUUGCUGUCAAUGGUCUUUAAAAAUUUACUUCCCUCGUAGGCUUUUCAUGUUCUGGUACUGGAUGUGCAGUUUUGGGAGGCAUUGCUACAGAGAUAGGACUUCUAGCUGAAAUUGUUGCCCAUUGAUCACGCUUUAUCCUAUUCCUAAGUUAUUUGAUGAAUGUUCAUGCUGUUUGUGUUCUCAGUUGUCACUAUCAAAUAGGUAGUUAUCCGAGGGUGGUCUCAUUGACUGCAGAUCUCUAGGUGAUAGCUGGGCAUGAAGGAACUAGUUUGCAUCUAUUCAGACCUACAACCUUCAACUUGCAUUGUGUUUGUUCAGUGUCUUCUACCUUGAAGUAGUUAAUGAUUAGGGUCAUUAUUGCAGGUCUUACUGCUAUUUUUUGCUUGGGCUUGUCAUCGUGGAUUAUGUGUUGGGGGUACUAACUUAUCCAAUUUACUAAUUCUUGUAUAUGAACCAUGAUACUUGUGAGACUGCUUCGAACCUGUGACAUGGUGACUUAGAGCAACUCCCGCUAUUGUACCAGCCCUGCUUCAAACCCGUGACAUGGUGACUUGAGACCUCUCUCGCUAUUGUACCAGGCCAGUCCUUUACGAACCAUAAUACUAUGUUAAUAUAAUAUUCAGAUACUUCUAAUUUAAUCUACAGUUGUAGAAGGUAAUGAGCAUGUUUUAACUUCGGAGAUUCAACCAGAGAUAGCUAGAACUACAACACUACAACUUUCAUUUAAUCAAGCUUGUUUCUGCUUUAUCUUGCUAUGCUCUGACCAAAGCUUUAAUUCUUGUGCUACUGGUAUUUCUGUGUUCUGCAGAUCAUUUAGCUCAAGUAAUUGGUAGUUCAAUUGUGAUAAGUAGGCUGAGCAAAUUGUACUGCUAGUGUAGUUUGUUUUGUUUGAUUUGUGUGGGCACACUUGAAAUUGGCGUGAGUCUAGUAACAUAAGUUGUGUCAUUUUGCUCAGAAGCCUUACAUAUGAGUUCUUUCUGGUUCAUCUGAUGUCCACACUGAGUUUAUCUGAUGUCCACACUCUGAGUUUAUCUGAUGUCCACACACUGAGUUUUGGCAAUUAAUUUGCCUGUUUAGAAGCAGAGUUCUAGAACCUAAACUGUCUGUCUGAAGCAGAGCUCUAGAUCCUGAACUGUCUGUCUGAUUGGUUGCUGCUUACUUUGUGCUGCACUGAAAUUGGUAGUGGUGUCUGUCUAGCCCAUUGGAAGUUUUCUUCUCAUCUCUGUUUCGUUACUGCACAGGGGAACUUGGUACAGCCAUCCAUGGUAUCAGAAUAUGAUCUGGGAGGAGAAGGGGACCUGUUCAAAGCUCCAGAAGCCAUCAUCGAGGAACCGCUGCUCCUGAACUGUCUGUCUGAUUCUGUUAAUUUGUUGCUGUGUAGGCUGGGCUUGUGCCGAGCUUGAAUCCUCUUGUGAAGGAGUUUCUCAAUGCUGCUGAUGACAAGCGGAAGGAAGUCCUCUCUAAAAUAGAAGAGGAUGUUGCUAAGCUCAGCGGUUCUGCAGCCAACUAAGAAGCUACAAGUGAAUGCCGAGGAGAGCAGCGAUGACUUGGCUAACCCACCGAAGGUAGAGGAGAAGCUUGGUGCUGUCCCUCAUGGCCUGUCCACCGACUCUGAGGUUGCCCAGAGGGAAGCCGAGUCUAUCUCUAGGAAGACUCUCAGGAGCUCAGCCGAGAAGUUUGAGUUCCAAGCUGAGGUUUCCAGACUCAUGGACAUCAUCAUCAACUCACUCUACAGCAACAAGGAUAUCUUCCUGAGGGAGCUCAUAUCUAAUGCCUCUGAUGCUGGAUAAGAUUAGGUUCCUUUCCCUUACUGAUAAGGAAGUUCUGGGUGAAGGGGACACUGCAAAGCUUGAGAUUCAGAUUAAGUUGGACAAAGAGAAGAAAAUCCUCUCCAUUCGGGAUAGGGGUAUUGGUAUGACCAAGGAAGAUCUUAUUAAGAACCUUGGAACGAUUGCUAAAUCUGGCACUUCAGGAACAGGAGCUGCUCGAGUCUCUUGUCGAAGCUGAUACGAGAAGGCAGGAAAGAGCUAAAAAGAUGGAAGAAAAGAAAGUGUAUCUGCAACUAUACGAAGCAAUGGAGGCGUUGGUCAAGAUCAAUCUGGAGACCAACAAGAUCAUGGACUUCAUCAAGUUUGACGUCGGCAACGUGGUCAUGGUGACUGGCGGGAGGAACACCGGACGUGUAGGAGUCAUCAAGAACAGGGAGAAGCACAAGGGCAGCUUUGAGACCAUCCACGUGCUGCUUGGAGCUUUUUGCUAUGUCUAGUUUUCUCCUAUUUGUUGUACAUGAAAACAUAGAAUAGAAUUCAAAUUUGGUGGUCGCAAAAGUGUGGAGACUUUAAUUCAUACAAAGUUAGGCUUAACAUUAGUGCAAACAGUUGUAUUUUAGUUUAGAUUUAGAGUACACUUAUGUAUGCAUUGUUUGACAAUGUUUAUUUAUGAUAUAUUGAAUGGUACUUAAUUAUAUUAUAUUAA